rnacentral:rRNA from 1 species
UACGUAGGGGGCUAGCGUUGUCCGGAAUCAUUGGGCGUAAAGCGCGUGUAGGCGGUCCGGUAAGUCCGCUGUGAAAGUCGGGGGCUCAACCCUCGGAUGCCGGUGGAUACUGUCGGGCUUGAGUACGGAAGAGGCGAGUGGAAUUCCCGGUGUAGCGGUGAAAUGCGCAGAUAUCGGGAGGAACACCAGCGGCGAAGGCGGCGCUCUGGGCUGGUACUGACGCUGAGGAGCGAAAGCGUGGGGAGCAAACAGG